GUUUCUCUAGUGUAGUGGUUAUCACGUUCGCUUCACACGCGAAAGGUCCCCGGUUCGAAACCGGGUGGUAAACA